rnacentral:rRNA from 1 species
AAUCAACGCUGGCGGCGUGCCUAACACAUGCAAGUCGAACGCGAAAGGGGAGCAAUCCCUGAGUAGAGUGGCAAACGGGUGAGUAACGCGUGGGUGACCUGCCCUCGAGUGGGGGAUAACGUCCCGAAAGGGGCGCUAAUACCGCAUAACAUCCUGGGGUUCAACAUCUGGAGACCAAAGCUGGGGAUCGCAAGACCUGGCGCUUGAGGAGGGGCCCGCGUCCGAUUAGCUAGUUGGUGGGGUAAAAGCCUACCAAGGCGACGAUCGGUAGCCGGCCUGAGAGGGCGGACGGACACACUGGGACUGAGACACGGACCAGACUCCUACGGGAGGCAGCAGUGGGGAAUUGUUCGCAAUGGGCGAAAGCCUGACGACGCAACGCCGCGUGGAGGAUGAAGGUCUUCGGAUUGUAAACUCCUGUUGCCAGGGACGAAUGACUCGCGACCUAACACGUCGUGGGAAUGACGGUACCUGGUGAGGAAGCCCCGGCUAACUCUGUGCCAGCCGCCGCAGUAACAC